GUGGUCGAGUGAUAAGGACACUUGACUCUCACCCUGGAGUCUCGGGUUCGAUCCCCGGCCCA
rnacentral:tRNA from 1 species